AGCGAACGCUGGCGGCAUGCCUAACACAUGCAAGUCGAACGAGACCUUCGGGUCUAGUGGCGCACGGGUGCGUAACGCGUGGGAACCUGCCCUUAGGUUCGGAAUAACUCCCCGAAAGGGGUGCUAAUACCGGAUAAUGUCUUCGGACCAAAGAUUUAUCGCCUUUGGAUGGGCCCGCGUUGGAUUAGCUAGUUGGUAGGGUAAAAGCCUACCAAGGCGACGAUCCAUAGCUGGUCUGAGAGGAUGAUCAGCCACACUGGGACUGAGACACGGCCCAGACUCCUACGGGAGGCAGCAGGGGGGAAUAUUGGACAAUGGGCGAAAGCCUGAUCCAGCAAUGCCGCGUGAGUGAUGAAGGCCUUAGGGUUGUAAAGCUCUUUUACCCGGGAUGAUAAUGACAGUACCGGGAGAAUAAGCUCCGGCUAACUCCGUG
rnacentral:rRNA from 1 species